rnacentral:rRNA from 1 species
UGGGGAAUAUUGCACAAUGGGCGCAAGCCUGAUGCAGCCAUGCCGCGUGUGUGAAGAAGGCCUUCGGGUUGUAAAGCACUUUCAGCGAGGAGGAAGGUGGUGAACUUAAUACGUUCAUCAAUUGACGUUACUCGCAGAAGAAGCACCGGCUAACUCCGUGCCAGCAGCCGCGGUAAUACGGAGGGUGCAAGCGUUAAUCGGAAUUACUGGGCGUAAAGCGCACGCAGGCGGUUUGUUAAGUCAGAUGUGAAAUCCCCGGGCUCAACCUGGGAACUGCAUUUGAAACUGGCAAGCUAGAGUCUCGUAGAGGGGGGUAGAAUUCCAGGUGUAGCGGUGAAAUGCGUAGAGAUCUGGAGGAAUACCGGUGGCGAAGGCGGCCCCCUGGACGAAGACUGACGCUCAGGUGCGAAAAGCGUGGGGAGCAAAACAGGAUUAGAUACCCUGGUAGUCCACGCUGUAAAACGAUGUCGAUUUUGGAGGUUGUGCCCUUGAGGCGUGGCUUCCGGAGCUAACGCGUUAAAUCGACCGCCUGGGGAGUACGGCCGCAAGGUUAAAACUCAAAUGAAUUGACGGGGUCAUAGCUG